ensembl:lncRNA
CUCUCAUUCUACUUAUGUAAUUAGCCAAGGGAGUUGCAAAAAGCCAAGGCUUUAUGCAGAGGUCUUUACAUCCUUCUGGAAGCACAAGGAGCUGGCUAACCUGUCACUGGGAAUCCACCCCAGCUCCAUGGAGCUCCUGAAUUUUAAACGUAAACUUGCUGAUAACAAUGCAAGCUCUGAGGAUGGCUUCUUAGCUUUGUGUCCUCAAAGGUUUCUGCAGAUCAACCAUCCCUCUAGCUGUUUGACUGUUCAGAGACCUGGUUUGGCCCUGGAAGUUUUCUGCACAUUGUGUGCACACGUGUGGGGGCACUUGGCCUGUGUAUAUAUGAGUGCAGGUCAGAGCUCAAAAUCAAGUCUCUUCCCCUGGCACUCUAUUUUUUGAGACAGGGUCUCUCACUGACACUAGAAUUCAUUGUUUGGACUAAACUGGCUAGCCAAAUAAGCCCCCCAGAAUCUGCCUAUCUGUUCAUCCCCCAACACCAGGAUUAUAGACACCCACCACUGUGCUUCAAUUUUUUUUAAUGUGAGUUCGGGGAUUUGAACUCACGUCCUUGUGUCUAUAAAGCCAGAGAGCUUUCACCUACCGUGAUAUCUCCAGUAUUGGGGAUCUUAUUAGCUAGGAUCCUACAGUCAGAGGCAUUUGGAUAUGACCCCGUAAGCAUAGGAUUCCUGGAAAGGCAGCUAGGAGCAGCCUCUCUAACCUACCACCAUUAAAUAAUCUAACCAGUUCUCCAUUCUAGGGUGAUCGGAGAAGCCAGGAGGCAAUAUCGUAUAGGAAAACGAAUGGGGUCUCCGUAUGCAGGCUGAUCCCCCCUCCCCUACUGACCUGAGCAGAUCUGCCUGCGCCAGCUAUAAAUCUACUGUUUCCUUAACAGGUGACAACAGUGGGCCCCAGAGAGAAGCAACUACUAGUCUACAGCUUCAGCUUGGCCAUACAAGACAGAGCCAGGUAGAGGGUAUUCACCCAGCAUGCCUCUCUCGUAAGUAUGGUGCCUCUUUACACCAUAGCUCUCCUCUACUCCCUUUUUAAGAUAUGUCUUUUAACUUAAGUAUAUGGUGUGUGUAGAAAUGUCCACCUGAGACCAGGUGCCUGCUGAGGACCAAGGACUCAGCUUUCCCUGGAGCUGGGAUUUCAGAUGGCUGUGAGACUCCUAACAUGGGUGCUGGGAACCAAGGUCAGGUCCUUUGCAAGAGCAGUAUGUGAUCUCAAAGCAGAAGCAUCUCUCCAGUUCCUCUUCUAGGACCUUCUAAGUGGCUCUGGACCCCAUUCUCAUGUACAUAGAGUGAGGCAGCCCAGGGAGACCCUGAAGUUCAGUUCUUAUGUCUGAAGCCCACUUUGUUAUGGUGGCUCCUGGCUACUAGUGGACAGCUGUCUCCUACUAGCUCCUAAGACAAGAACUUGAUUGAACCGGAUAUAAGGACCUGUGUCUUUUCAUUUGACUUGAACUGGAAGUAGCCAAGAUACCUGAUUCAGGCUGUCGGACACUUCAUAGGCUUCUCCCUAAGCACUGGAAUCCAAAGUGCAAAUUAUAGGCUCUCAGUGAGGCCAGCCAGGGCUCCUCCAUCUUCUGCCUAAGAGCCUGCUCUGUGAUGGGCAUGCCAGGCAUCCCUGCGGGGGAUGGGGUGGAGGUGGCUCCUUGCUUCCUCACUGUGAUGGGCAUGCCCAGCCACGCCCACCUAUGAGUUCCUGCCCCCACCCCCACCAGCUUCCUCACCCAGACUCCCCUAACACACUCCUUUCUCUUUCUCACUCACUCCUUUUCUUCUUAAAGUUAAUUGCAACUUUUUUCUCAGCGCCCUGAUCUGGAUAAGCCACAUCUCAUUAGAAAAAGAUUUAGCCAGAGCCAAAGCAGGCUGGAGAAGGAAUCCCUAAUCAACAGAGAAAAGAUUUGGGUGUAAUUGCUCUCUCCCGCCAUUCUCGCCCCCCCUCCCUCUUCCAAUCUUUUUCUGCUCAUUAAUCUGAAAAGAAAGUCCCGCUAAUGUCUGUGUUCAAGUAUCUGCUGCAGCAGCAAGCAAAUCCAGGAGCUUGGGGACGGGGGUUUCGAAGGGUGUCACACAGAGAGUUGUGGUCAUGGUUGGGGUUCAUGAAUGAGAUGGUUUGCGGAGGGGGGCUUGGGGGAAUGUUGAAGGGUUUGGCUUGAGAAAGUAUGCAUGAAUGUUUGUGAAAUGCUGUGGUCGUUGGGGUGUUAGGAGUGGUUGUUGGUAUGGGAGUAUGAAGUGCUGAUAAUUGGGUAUCUAAAAAGAAGCUCUUCACAUUGUGUGUGUGUGUGUGUGUGUGUGUGUGUGUAGCUCUUUGGUUAGUGCUAUGGAUAUAAUGAAGUGUUCUGACUAUUAGUUGUGUAUAUGAAGGCUUUGCACUAUUGGGCAGUGAGUGAGUGUGUGUGUGUGUGUGUGUGUGUGUGUGUGUGUGUGUGAGAGAGAGAGAGAGACAGAGACAGAGAGACAGAGAGACAGAGAGACAGAGAGACAGAGAGACAGAGAGACAGAGAGACAGAGAGACAGAGAGACAGAGAGAGAGACAGAGAGAGAGAGACUUCCUUCAUUCAGCAUUGUGUAUCACCUAACUCAUGGCCCCUCUUUUGUUUCCCCCAAUGCCUGAGUAAAUUCUGACAGGUGCUUAGAUGUUGACACAGGGGAACUGAACUAAGGAGCAACCCAUUUCGCAGAUGAAGGUGUAGAGGCUGACUCAAAAAGACAAAGAUCCUGUCUUCAUGGGACCCAGCAAGGCUGCCUUGAAAGAAAUGCUCACAGGUCACCGUAAAACUCAAGGGAAGGACAAAAGAGACUGCAACGUGAGAUCAGCAUCUCAUUACUAAGCUGUGGUACAGAGCUCCCCAAUGUCCCCUUCAUGGUCUAGUGCUGCACAGCAUCAAUCAUAUCUCAGGCAAUGAACACCAUUCAUAUUUACUGCUGCACUGUUCAUAAUAGUUGAGAUCUGGGGCUAGCCCAGGGGUUCAUUACCAGAUGAAAGAAGAAAGAAAAUGCAGAAUGUUUGCAUGAUGACUGUACUGGCUGGUUUUGUGUGUCAACUCAACACAAGCUGGAAUUAUCACAGAGCCUUCCUUGAGGAAAUGCCUCCAUGAGACCCAGCUGUAAGGCAUUUUCUCAACUAGCGAUCAAGGGGAAGGGCCCAGCUUAUUGUGGGUGAUGCCAUCCCUGGGCUGGUGGUGCUGGGUUCUAUAAGAAAGCAAGUUGAGCAAUCCAAGGGAAGCAAGCCAGAAACAUCCUUUCAUGGCCUCUGCAUCAGCUCCAAGUUCCUGCCCUGUGUGAGUUCCUGUCUUGACUUCCUUUGGUGAUGAUCAACAAUGUAGAAGUAUAAGCUGAACAAACCCUUUUCUCGCCAGCUUGCUUCUUGGUCAUGGCGUUUUUUGCAGGAAUAGAAACCCUGAUUAAGACGAUGAGACUUUGCUCAUCUGCAACAAAGAACGAGAUCGAAACAUUUGUGGGAAAAUUAAUGGAGCUGGAGAUCAUUACGCUAGAGAAAUAAAAGCCCAGAAGAUAUCACAUUAUCUCUCACAGGCAGAAUCUAGAUUUAAAUCUAUUUCUGCAUAUGCACACACGUGUAUAUAUGCAUAUGCACACCCAAAUGUAGGACAAGGACAUAGAAAGACUUCUGUGAGAGAGAAGGGUACUGUGGGAGAGGAAGGAGAGCACUUAGAUCAGGAACAAGUUGGUGACAUUUCAUGAGUGCUGAGUGAGACCUGGAAUCUACUAUUAUCUGGAAUGAGCCUGAAGCAGAUAUUCUGCAUAAAUUUCAAGGGCUGAGCAGCAAUCAUGGAACCCUUUUGCUGGUAUUCUGUCUAAGCUCCACCUCCACGGCUACCUGGCAACAGCCAGGUAUGCUCCACCCCAGAGUUGCCUGGCAACAGCCAGCUGUGCCUGACUAUAAAGGGGGCUGCUUGCCCCCUCCUCUCUCUCUCUUACUUCUCUUGCUCUCUCUUGCUCUUCCUCUUCUCGUUCCCUCUUUGUCCCUGUCCCUUCUCUCCCCAUCCCCCGCCUUCCCCUACAC